GUCCUUUAGAGAUAAUUAAAGGUUUAACCUGCCCACUGAGAAAUUUUAAAUGGCCGCAGUAAAUUGACUGUGCAAAGGUAGCAUAAUCAAUAGUUUUUUAAUUGAAAGCUUGUAUGAAUGGUUGGACGAGAUAAAAUCUGUCUUUAUUUAAUAGAUAAAAUUUAAUAUUUAAGUUAAAAAGCUUAAAUAAAAUUAAAAGACGAGAAGACCCUAUAGAUCUUUAUAAUAAAUUAAUUAUUUAUAUUAAAGAUUAGUUUAUAUUUUAUUUAUGUUAUUAUUAUAUUGGGGUAAUAGAGAGAUUUAACAAAUUCUUUUUAAAAAUUGACAAUAAUUUUUGAUUUAUUGAUCCAUUAAUUAGUGAUUAAAAGAUUAAGUUACCUUAGGGAUAACAGCGUAAUUUUUUUAGAGAGUUCAUAUCGAUAAAAAAGUUUGCGACCUCGAUGUUGGAUUAAAAAUUAUUCUAGGUGUAGUAGUUUAGAAUUUUGGUCUGUUCGACCAUUAAAUUUUUACA
rnacentral:rRNA from 1 species